rnacentral:rRNA from 1 species
AUUGAACGCUGGCGGCAUGCCUAACACAUGCAAGUCGAGCGGAGCGGCGGACGGGUGAGUACUGCCUAGGAAGCUGCCUGGUAGUGGGGGAUAACGUCCGGGAACGGGCCCUAAUACCGCAUGCUAGCAGAUGAGCCUAGGUGGGAUUAGCUAGUUGGUGGGUUAAAGGCCUACCAAGUCGACGAUCCUUACAUGGUCUGAGAGGAUGAUCAGUCACACUGGAACUGAGGCACGGUCCAGACUCCUACGGGAGGCAGCAGUGGGGAAUAUUGGACAAUGGGCGAAAGCCUGAUCCAGCCAUGCCGCGUGUGUGAAGAAGGUCUUCGGAUUGUAAAUCACUUGAAGUUGGGAGGCGUUACCAAAAGAAUAAGCACCGGCUAACUUCGUGCCAGCAGCCGCGGUAAUAC